CGUUGAGUAAACGAUCCCGAAAUCGAAUCUAAAAGUUAAACAGGCCCGCGCCCGCACCACGUAGUCUCCCUCCACGCUUGUCCUUCUAGAAGCCAACAGUCCCAGGGCAAGGGCACGCACGCCCCGGACGCGGGGUCCACACCCCACCUGCUGCCCCCGCAUCCCAGGGACGCCCCGCUUCCCGCCCGUUCCCUCCGGCGCCCUGGCCUCCCUCCCCAGGCCUCCUCGAGGACGCAGGCCGGCCUCCUUCUCCAGCCUCCCCUACUCAGGGGUUUGUGGUCCAGUGGCUUCCUGCGGAAAGGGGCGGCAGAUUGUAGGAAAUCUCCACACCCACCGUGGGGCUCGAGCUCACCACCCCGAGUUCGAGUCGCAGGGUCUUCUGACGGAGCCAGUGGGCGCCCCUGCUUGUAAGGCUUUUGAUUUCAAAGCGGGAGGCAGAGCAGACGUGGCCUGACUCGCCUGGACCUGAGCAGCCCCCGACCAGCAUCUCCGCCCCCCCAUCCGCUCCUCUCCUGC
rnacentral:lncRNA from 12 species